rnacentral:rRNA from 1 species
AGGCGACGACGGGUAGCCGGCCUGAGAGGGCGACCGGCCACACUGGGACUGAGACACGGCCCAGACUCCUACGGGAGGCAGCAGUGGGGAAUAUUGCACAAUGGGCGAAAGCCUGAUGCAGCGACGCCGCGUGAGGGAUGACGGCCUUCGGGUUGUAAACCUCUUUCAGCAGGGAAGAAGCGAAAGUGACGGUACCUGCAGAAGAAGCGCCGGCUAACUACGUGCCAGCAGCCGCGGUAAUACGUAGGGCGCAAGCGUUGUCCGGAAUUAUUGGGCGUAAAGAGCUCGUAGGCGGCUUGUCACGUCGGUUGUGAAAGCCCGGGGCUUAACCCCGGGUCUGCAGUCGAUACGGGCAGGCUAGAGUUCGGUAGGGGAGAUCGGAAUUCCUGGUGUAGCGGUGAAAUGCGCAGAUAUCAGGAGGAACACCGGUGGCGAAGGCGGAUCUCUGGGCCGAUACUGACGCUGAGGAGCGAAAGCGUGGGGAGCGAACAGGAUUAGAUACCCUGGUAGUCCACGCCGUAAACGGUGGGCACUAGGUGUGGGCAACACUUCACGUUGUCCGUGUCGCAGAUAUCGCACUAAGUGUGCCGCCUGGGGAGUGCGCCCGCAAGAGUAAAACUCAAAGGAAUUGACGGGGGGCCGCACAAGCGGCGGAGCACGUGGGUUAAUUUUACGCAACGCGAAGAACCUUUUCAAGACUUGACAUACACCGGAAAACUCCAGAGAUGGGGGCCCCCUUGUGGUCGGUGUACAGGUGGUGCACGGCUGUCUUCACAUCGUGUCUUGAGAUGUUGGGUUAAGUCUCGCACCGAGAGCACCCCUUGUGCCGUGUUUCCACCAGGGCCCUGUGGGGUUGGGGGCUCUCGGGAGACCGCCGGGGUCAAAUCGGAGGAAGGGGGGGGGGAGGUCAAGUCAUCACGCCCCUUAUGUGUUGGGGUGCGCACGUGUUACAAUGGCCGGUACAAUGAGAUGCGAUAUCGCGAGAGGGAGAGAAUAUCAAAAAAACGGUGUCACAUCGGAUAGGGGUGUGCACCUCGACCCCACGAAGUGGGAGUGGCUAGUA